GGACACAAUAAGUUGAGCAAUUCCUCCAAGCUUAUUGGGUGACUUUGGCUUCCAAUCAGCUUGUGUGAACAAUAAACAAAGGAUCAAGUAAAGAGGUAUUCUUGUGGAAUCGACUAGUGGAAACACAGGCAUUGGCCUUGCAUUCAUAGCUGCCUGAAAAGGAUAUGGGCUCAUCUUGACAAUGCCAGCAUCAACGAGUUCGGAAAGAAGAGUCCUUUUGAAAGCUUUUGGAGCUGAGCUUGUUUUAACUGAUUCAGCAAAAGGCAUGAAGGGAACAGUUUAAAAAGCGGAAGAGAUUUUGAAGAGCACACUCAAUGCUACAUGCUUCAACAAUUGAGCAAUCCGGCAAAUCCUCAAAUACACUAUGAGACAACAAAGUGGACAUUUUUGUUGCAAGGAUUGGAACUGGUGGAACCAUAUCUGGAGUUGGUAGCUUCCGUAAAAGAAAACAAAAUCCUAAAGCCAAGGCAAUCAUUCCCCUUUUAUCAAAUCCUGCAUUUCAUUUAUCUCAUAUGCCCUUGUGAACAUUAUUGCAUUCAAUUUUAGGGAAACGUUUUGGAGAAUUUACCACCAAACAAAAGUGCCUUGCCUUCUUUUGCAACUGAAUAAUUGACUGUUUGUAUUUUACUUUGGAUGCAUCAGGUUUUUGGUGUAGAACCUACAGAGAGUAACAUACUUUCCUGUGGAAAGCCUGGGAAGAGGAGAUCAUUUUUCUGAUAUAAUCAUAUCUUCAUGUGUUAUUUUUCAGGAAUGUGCAUCUUACAUUAAGAGCCCCCUUUCCCCCAUAAAAUGCAGGUCCUCACAGGAUUCAAGGGAUCGGAGCGGGUUUUGUACCAAGGAAUUUGGACCAAGAUAUGGUUGAUGAAGUUAUAGAGGACUGAUUUUUAUUUUCCUUCUUCCUGAUUUAUUGUUUGUGGUUGCUUUCAAGCAUUUUUAGCUGGCCUUAUUAUGAACAAGAGCAGUAAUUCUGAGGUUUCUUCUAUCAUUUUUCUCCACUAGCUUUGGUUCAUGAAGCUUGCUUUUGUUUUAGUUGAUGCAGUUUAAAUCAAAUUUGCCGACAAAGUUUUUUUGGGUACUGACCUUG